rnacentral:rRNA from 1 species
CGGGGGGGGCAAGCGUUGUUCGGAAUUACUGGGCGUAAAGGGCUCGUAGGCGGCCAACUAAGUCAGACGUGAAAUCCCUCGGCUUAACCGGGGAACUGCGUCUGAUACUGGAUGGCUUGAGUUUGGGAGAGGGAUGCGGAAUUCCAGGUGUAGCGGUGAAAUGCGUAGAUAUCUGGGGGAACACCGGUGGCGAAGGCGGCAUCCUGGACCAACACUGACGCUGAGGAGCGAAAGCCAGGGGAGCAAACGGGAUUAGAUACCCCGGUAGUCCUGGCCCUAAACGAUGAAUGCUUGGUGUGGCGGGUAUCGAUCCCUGCCGUGCCGAAGCUAACGCAUUAAGCAUUCCGCCUGGGGAGUACGGUCGCAAGGCUG